AUUGAACGUUGGCGGCAGGCCUAACACAUGCAAGUCGAGCGGAUGAAGGGAGCUUGCUCCUGGAUUCAGCGGCGGACGGGUGAGUAAUGCCUAGGAAUCUGCCUGGUAGUGGGGGAUAACGUCCGGAAACGGGCGCUAAUACCGCAUACGUCCUGAGGGAGAAAGUGGGGGAUCUUCGGACCUCACGCUAUCAGAUGAGCCUAGGUCGGAUUAGCUAGUUGGUGGGGUAAAGGCCUACCAAGGCGACGAUCCGUAACUGGUCUGAGAGGAUGAUCAGUCACACUGGAACUGAGACACGGUCCAGACUCCUACGGGAGGCAGCAGUGGGGAAUAUCGGACAAUGGGCGAAAGCCUGAUCCAGCCAUGCCGCGUGUGUGAAGAAGGUCUUCGGAUUGUAAAGCACUUUAAGUUGGGAGGAAGGGCAGUAAGUUAAUACCUUGCUGUUUUGACGUUACCAACAGAAUAAGCACCGGCUAACUUCGUG
rnacentral:rRNA from 1 species